GAUCAUGGCUCAGGAUGAACGCUAGCUACAGGCUUAACACAUGCAAGUCGGAGGGGCAUCAGGAAAGAAAGCUUGCUUUUCUUUGCUGGCGACCGGCGCACGGGUGAGUAACACGUAUCCAACCUGCCCUUUACUCGGGGAUAGCCUUUCGAAAGAAAGAUUAAUACCCGAUGGCAUAAUGAUUCCGCAUGGUUUCAUUAUUAAAGGAUUCCGGUAAAGGAUGGGGAUGCGUUCCAUUAGGUUGUUGGUGG
rnacentral:rRNA from 1 species